UGGCUAUAAAAUAACUUAUUUUGUAGCCACUUUAAGUUACAAUAAUUACUAUAUUAAUUUAACUUCUUACUAAGUGGUUUACUAUAACAUCAUGGUAAAUAUCCCCAUGUAUUAUAGUAACUCAACUAUCGUAAAUAUGUAUACAUAUUAUCGUAAAUUAAUAUAUAAAAUUAUCAUAAAUGGAGGUGGCUAAAGAAUAAUUUAUUUUGUAGCUA
rnacentral:pre_miRNA from 1 species